rnacentral:rRNA from 1 species
UGGGGAAUAUUGCACAAUGGGGGAAACCCUGAUGCAGCGACGCCGCGUGAGCGAAGAAGGUUUUCGAAUCGUAAAGCUCUGUCCUAUGAGAAGAUAAUGACGGUAUCAUAGGAGGAAGCCCCGGCUAAAUACGUGCCAGCAGCCGCGGUAAUACGUAUGGGGCGAGCGUUGUCCGGAAUUACUGGGCGUAAAGGGUUCGCAGGCGGCAUGGCAAGUCCGAUGUAAAAGGCGAAGGCUCAACCUUCGUAAGCAUCGGAAACUGUCAAGCUUGAGUGAAGGAGAGGCAAGUGGAAUUCCUAGUGUAGCGGUGGAAUGCGUAGAUAUUAGGAGGAAUACCGGUGGCGAAGGCGACUUGCUGGACUUCAACUGACGCUGAGGAACGAAAGCGUGGGUAGCAAACAGG